GGGCCUUCGGCAGCACAUAUACUAAAAUUGGAACGAUACAGAGAAGAUUAGCAUGGCCCCUGUGCAUGUGACUUGUUUUUAUGCUCCAUGGUGCCUAUUUUU